AUUGAACGCUGGCGGCAUGCUUUACACAUGCAAGUCGAACGGCAGCGCGGGCUUCGGCCUGGCGGCGAGUGGCGAACGGGUGAGUAAUGCAUCGGAAUGUGCCUAGUAGUGGGGGAUAGCCCGGCGAAAGCCGGUUUAAUACCGCAUACGACCUGAGGGUGAAAGCGGGGGGCCGGAAGGCCUCGCGCUAUCGGAGCAGCCGAUGUCGGAUUAGCUAGUUGGUGGGGUAAAGGCUUACCAAGGCGACGAUCCGUAGCUGGUCUGAGAGGACGACCAGCCACACUGGGACUGAGACACGGCCCAGACUCCUACGGGGGGCAGCAGUGGGGAAUUUUGGACAAUGGGGGCAAGCCUGAUCCAGCCAUGCCGCGUGCGGGAAGAAGGCCUUCGGGUUGUAAACCGCUUUUGUUCGGGAAGAAGUCCUCUGGGCUAAUACCCCGGGGGGAUGACGGUACCGGAAGAAUAAGCACCGGCUAACUCCGUG
rnacentral:rRNA from 1 species